rnacentral:rRNA from 1 species
AUUGAACGCUGGCGGCAGGCCUAACACAUGCAAGUCGAACGAGAGGCGGACGGGUGAGUAAUGUCUGGGAAACUGCCCGAUGGAGGGGGAUAACUACUGGAAACGGUAGCUAAUACCGCAUACCAUCGGAUGUGCCCAGAUGGGAUUAGCUAGUAGGUGGGGUAACGGCUCACCUAGGCGACGAUCACUAGCUGGUCUGAGAGGAGGAACAGCCACCCUGGGACUGAGACACGGUCCAGCCUCCUACGUGAGUCAGCAGUGGGGAAUAUUGCACAAUGGGCGCAAGCCUGAUGCAGCCAUGCCGCGUGUGUGAAGAAGGCCUUCGGGUUGUAAAGCACUUUCAGCGAGGAGGCGUUACUCUCAGAAGAAGCACCGGCUAACUCCGUGCCAGCAGCCGCGGUAAUAC